rnacentral:lncRNA from 10 species
CGCCCCUCCGAGAACCGCCAAGUUGGUACCAGCCCCUGCCGGCUGCCCUCGGUUUCCUAGGUAGGUGUUGGGAUCCGCCACGCGCGUGGGGGCCGUCGGAAGCCCACCCCUGCGGUGAUCAGGUUUUAGGACCAGUCCAAAUCUUGGAUAUGGGAGAGUCAAAACGUCAACUUUGGGUUGUGUCCUGUCGGAGUCAGUGGGGGAGUAGUUUAGCUUCUUAUAUCCUCAGUGGGCUGCCACAUCCUCUCCCCUCCCCCCAGAAAGAUAGCUAAAUAAACUUUAAAUUCCUCAGCCCCAUUGCCCCAAUCCCCACUUCCAAACCAGAUUGCCAGGGACAGCACCUGCUAGGUGGAAGUUCUGAGAACGUUGCGCUGGAGAAUUCACGCCUGAAAGCCUAGCCCUUGGGAGCUAGAGGCCUGAACUGGGCGGAUACGUGCCCAUGUGUACAGUUUCUGUGAUUUUAAAAUUCUGAAUCCUUUAAAUCUUAGGAAACAAGCUGGAUUUAAAGUGUAAGUGCAUUUACUAAUCACUCCCACUAAAAGUUGCAUAGACUCCAACAGUUGUAAAUGAUUACUUAAAAGAAGGGAUACAUCUUAAUGAGUGAACAGAGUCUCUUCAUGGAAAAAAGAAGUAUGAAAAAUUUUGUUAAUGUAUUUCUUAUAAAAGUAUUAACAAG